CCGUUAACAUGAGGACUUUGCCAGCAUUCCGGAAGUGUGGGCAGAGGUCGUUCGGUGGGUGACGUCCCCGCAGUGUGUGGUCGUGACCCGACUCAGUCUGUCUCCCAGCGGUUGAGGCCCUGGGAGAUUUUAGGCCUCCAAGCCUGUGCUGACCGGCCACGACCCGCAGAUCCCCCAUGGAGGAGGAACCAGUGAACCAGGCCCAGAGCUGUGUGAGCUUGGAAGAUGUGUGCCUGUAUUUCACCGAGGAGGAGUGGGAUCUCCUCAGCGACGCUCAGAAGCUCCUGUACCACAACGUGAUGCUGGAGAACUUCUCGAUUGUACUCUCACUGGGACUUCCCAUUUCCAAGCCCUUCUCAGAAACUAUUUGACUUCUACCAGCAAUCAAUUCCACAGUUUACAUCAAUCACCCCAAAGUACCUAGGGAAGAGAGAUUUAUGCUUCCUCCUGAUGCCCUGGAAGAAAUUGGGUGAUCUCAAUUCACUGCAGGUCCUCAUUCCCUCCUUCUGAAGGCUUUGAUAUAUAUGUGACACAGCUUCUGAAAGAUAUCUUUGAUCUGGGAUCUCCUGCACAUUUCUAGAGGUUUUCAUCUUCGUGGUUUCUUGACUUUGUGUGUGCUGGGAUGGAUUUCUUCAGGCUCCAAACCAUCCAGCCUUGGAACUUCCUGACCUUCUUUGAUCUGGUUGAUGCAGUGACUUAAUACAAUUAUAUGUUUCCUGCCUAA